GGGCACUUGGCACAGUUGGUAGCGCGCACGCUUCGCAUGCGUGAGGUCAGGAGUUCGACUCUCCUAGUGUCCA
rnacentral:tRNA from 1 species